rnacentral:rRNA from 1 species
AGUGAACGCUGGCGGUAGGCCUAACACAUGCAAGUCGAACGGCAGCACAGUAAGAGCUUGCUCUUACGGGUGGCGAGUGGCGGACGGGUGAGGAAUACAUCGGAAUCUACUUUUUCGUGGGGGAUAACGUAGGGAAACUUACGCUAAUACCGUAUACGACCUACGGGUGAAAGCAGGGGAUCUUCGGACCUUGCGCGAUUGAAUGAGCCGAUGUCGGAUUAGCUAGUUGGCGGGGUAAAGGCCCACCAAGGCGACGAUCCGUAGCUGGUCUGAGAGGAUGAUCAGCCACACUGGAACUGAGACACGGUCCAGACUCCUACGGGAGGCAGCAGUGGGGAAUAUUGGACAAAGGGCGCAAGCCUGAUCCAGCCAUACCGCGUGGGUGGAGAAGGCCUUCGGGUUGUAAAGCCCUUUUGUUGGGAAAGAAAAGCAGCAGGUUAAUACCCCGCUGUUCUGACGGUACCCAAAGAAUAAGCACCGGCUAACUUCGUG